rnacentral:rRNA from 1 species
GACGAACGCUGGCGGCGUGCUUAACACAUGCAAGUCGAACGGAAAGGCCCUGCUUUUGUGGGGUGCUCGAGUGGCGAACGGGUGAGUAACACGUGAGUAACCUGCCCUUGACUUUGGGAUAACUUCAGGAAACUGGGGCUAAUACCGGAUAGGAGCUCCUGCUGCAUGGUGGGGGUUGGAAAGUUUCGGCGGUUGGGGAUGGACUCGCGGCUUAUCAGCUUGUUGGUGGGGUAGUGGCUUACCAAGGCUUUGACGGGUAGCCGGCCUGAGAGGGUGACCGGCCACAUUGGGACUGAGAUACGGCCCAGACUCCUACGGGAGGCAGCAGUCGGGAAUAUUGCACAAUGGGCGGAAGCCUGAUGCAGCAACGCAGCGUGCGGGAUGACGGCCUUCGGGUUGUAAACCGCUUUCGCCUGUGACGAAGCGUGAGUGACGGUAAUGGGUAAAGAAGCACCGGCUAACUACGUG